AGCACGAUCCUACGAGGCAGCAGUGGGGGAUAUUGCACAAUGGGGGAAACCCUGAUGCAGCAACGCCGCGUGAGUGAAGAAGGUCUUCGGAUUGUAAAGCUCUGUUCUUGGUGAAGAUAAUGACGGUAGCCAAGGAGAAAGCUCCGGCUAACUACGUGCC
rnacentral:rRNA from 1 species